CCAGAAGGCCGGGCAGCCGCUGGCAUGUGGGUAACUGCAUGCUGGAGGAAAGUCCGGGCUCCAGAAAGACAGGGCGACGGCUAACGGCCGCCCGGCGCAAGCCGAGGGAAAGUGCCACAGAAAGCAAACCGCCCUCCGAAGCCUCGGCGAAGGAGGGUAAGGGUGAAAGGGUGGGGUAAGAGCCCACCGCAGGCCUGGCAACAGGGCUGGCAAGGCAAACCCCGCCCGGAGCAAGACCAAGUAGGGGGCGCAUUUGGGCUGUCUUACGCCCGCGCCCCGGGUGUGUCGCGCGAGGCGUUCAGCAAUGAACGUCCCAGAGGAAUGGCUGCCAGACCCCGCAAGGGGCGAACAGAACCCGGCUUACAGGCCUUCUGGUCCA
rnacentral:RNase_P_RNA from 2 species